UUUAGGCUUAGGCUUAGGCUUAGGCUUAGGCUUAGGCUCAAACUUAGGCUAAGGCUAAGGCUCGGACUCACGGUUAGGUUUAGUGUUAGGCUUAGACUUGGGCUUAGGCUUGGGCUUAGGCUUAAGCUUAGUCUUAUGCUUAGGCUUAGGUUUUGCGUAGGCUUAGGUUUAGGCUUAGGCGUAGGCUUAGGUUUAGGCUUAGG
ensembl:ncRNA C41H7.10 ncRNA